UAUUUUGAAUUUUCUUUUAUUGGUUAUUUGUGUUUUAAUUAGUGUUGCCUUUUUAACUUUAUUAGAGCGUAAGGUUUUAGGUUAUAUUCAGAUUCGAAAGGGUCCAAAUAAGGUAGGUUUUGUUGGAAUUCCUCAGCCAUUUAGAGAUGCUAUUAAGUUAAUUUGUAAGGAGCAGCCAAUUCCUAUUAUAUCUAAUUACCUACUUUAUUAUUUUUCCCCUGUUUUUAAUUUAAUGAUUUCUUUAGCCGUUUGAGUAAUUUUUCCUUAUUUAACUUAUAUGUGUUCGUUUUCUUAUGGAUUUUUAUUUUUUUUAUGUUGUACUAGAUUAGGUGUUUAUACUGUUAUAAUUGCUGGUUAAUUUGUAAGGAGCAGCCAAUUCCUAUUAUAUCUAAUUACCUACUUUAUUAUUUUUCCCCUGUUUUUAAUUUAAUGAUUUCUUUAGCCGUUUGAGUAAUUUUUCCUUAUUUAACUUAUAUGUGUUCUUUUUCUUAUGGAUUUUUAUUUUUUUUAUGUUGUACUAGAUUAGGUGUUUAUACUGUUAUAAUUGCUGGUUGAUCUCCUAAUUCAAAUUAUUCAUUUUUAGGUUCUCUUCGUUCUGUUGCUCAAACAAUUUCUUAUGAAGUUAGUUUAGCUUUAAUUUUAUUGUCUUUAAUUAUUUUAAUUGGUAGUUUUAAUAUGUUUGAUUUUAUAAACUAUCAGCUUUAUUGUUGAUUUAUUAUUAUUUCUUUUCCUUUAGCUUUAGCUUGUUUUGCUUCUUGCUUAGCUGAAACUAAUCGUACUCCUUUUGAUUUUGCUGAAGGGGAAUCUGAGUUAGUUUCAGGAUUUAAUAUUGAGUAUGGUGCGGGUGGUUUUACUUUAAUUUUUUUAGCUGAAUAUACUAGAAUUGUCUUCAUAAGAAUGAUAUUGGCUUUAAUUUUUUUGGGUGGUGAUUUUUAUUCUUUUAUAUUUUUUAUUAAGCUUGCUAUUAUAUCUUUUGGUUUUAUUUGGGUUCGUGGAACAUUACCACGGUUCCGUUAUGAUAAAUUAAUGUACUUAGCUUGAAAAAGUUUUUUUACCUUUAUCUUUGAAUUUUUUUAUUUUCUUUGUUGGUUUAAAGAUUUUAUUUAUCUCAUUUGUUUAGUGAAAUUUUUUGAGAAAAGUUAAUAGAAGAGUUAAACUUCUAAUUUUAUGUUUUCAAAACAUAUGCUUUUCCUAAGCUAAUUAACUUUAUUCCUUAAUUAAUUUAUCUCAUGCGUUUGCGACAUGGACAUUAAUUAAGAAAUAUGUGAAGUAAAUAAUUGUUAAGAUUUGACCUGUUAUAAUAUAAGGUUCUUCAACAGGUCGUUUACCAAUUCACGUUAGUAAGCAUACAACAACUACUAUAAUUCAGAAUAAAAUUUGAUUAAUAGGGUAAAAUUGAAUGCCUCGGAAUGGUGUUUUAUUAUAAAAUGGUAAAAUUAUUAAGAUUCUAAUUGAUAAAAAUAAUGCAAUAACACCUCCUAACUUAUUAGGGAUAGAUCGUAGAAUUGCAUAUGCAAAUAGGAAAUAUCAUUCUGGUUGAAUGUGAACUGGUGUUACUAAUGGGUUGGCAGGUACAAAGUUAUCUGGAUCUCCUAAUAGGUAAGGAUUAAUUAAACAUAGUAUAAUUAAUAAUGAUGUUAUUAUUACAAAUGUAAUAGAAUCCUUAAAGGUAAAGUAUGGAUGGAAUGGAAUUUUUUCAAUAUCUCCAUUUAGUCCAAGAGGAUUAUUAGAUCCUGUUUGGUGAAGAAAAAAUAAAUGAAUUGCUGCUAUAGCAGCAAUAAUAAAUGGUAAUACAAAAUGGAAUGUGAAGAAUCGAUUUAAUGUUGCAUUAUCAACAGCGAAUCCUCCUCAUACUCAUUGGACUAAAUCUGUUCCUAAGUAUGGGAUUGCUGAUAAUAAAUUAGUAAUUACUGUUGCACCUCAAAAAGAUAUUUGGCCUCAGGGUAAGACAUAUCCUAUAAAUGCAGUUGCUAUAACUAAAAAUAAAA